UCUUAGGAGUCCUGCUGUCACUGUGGAUUGAGCCGGUGAAGCCCUGAGGGAUUUCAUCGCUGAGGUGGAUGGAGAAGCAGCUGGGGGCCUUGGCUGUAAGGACCCCUAAGGGCCUGAUCUUUUGGCCAGAAGGAGAUUAAAAAGAUGCCCCUCAAGAUGGCUGUGCCUGUCAGCUGCAUGGAGCUUCGUUCAAGUAUUUUCUGAGCCUGAUGGAUUUACAGUGAUCUUCAGUGGUCUGGGGAAUAACGCUGGUGGAACCAUGCACUGGAAUGACACACGCCCGGCACAUUUCAGGAUACUAAAAGUGGUUUUAAGGGAGGCUGUGGCUGAAUGCCUCAUGGAUUCUUACAGCUUGGAUGUCCAUGGGGGACGAAGGACUGCAGCUGGCUGAGAGGGUUGAGAUCUCUGUUUACUUAGAUCUCUGCCAACUUCCUUUGGGUCUCCCUAUGGAAUGUAAGACCCCGACUCUUCCUGGUGAAGCAUCUGAUGCACGUUCCAUCCGGCGCUCAGCUGGGCUUGAGCUGACCAUACUCCCUGGAGCCUUCUCCCGAGGUGCGCGGGUGACCUUGGCACAUACAGCCAUCAUGAUGGUACUUUAAGUGGAGGCUGAAUCAUCUCCCCUUUGAGCUGCUUGGCACGUGGCUCCCUUGGUGUUCCCCUUUUACUGCCAGGACACUGAGAUUUGGAGAGAAUCCUGUUACACCUGGGAUUUAGGCACUUUCAAUCUGAAAAAAUACAUAUCCUUUCAGCACUCUGGACGGACUUGAGAACUGUCCUUACGUGACCUAAAGCUGGAGUAUUUUGAGAUUGGAGAAUUAAGAGUGUGGGCACCCUGGCUUCAAGCUCACGAGAAACCAGAAGGAAGUCACUGUGCAUAGCCAUCCCCUAAGAAGAGGGCAUUCCUGCUCUUCCUUCUCCAUGGCUAGAGGAUCUACAUGAACUAUUUAGAUUUUUUCUACCUGGGAGAUUUAACUCCUCUCUCCUAUUUAUUUAUUUAUAUAUCAGCAUGGACUUGCAGGAGACAGCACGAAUUCUCCUACAGGCUCACCACACAACUGGUGCUGUGAGGGAGACGAAGAUGAGUCAUGCCUGUACUGCUCUUUAAACACUCACAAUUGAAUAAGCUACCCAGGUGACACGACAUGGUUAUCCUGGCCAGAAAGCCAUGGCUUUUCCUAAUCAGAGCUUCAGUGCUGUGGAAACUUGAAGUUUGGAGGGUCUGAUGUCUCAGUCUGGAUGAGGAUGAGUUCCCUGCCAUUCCUGGGUUAGCAGCUCCCAUCCUCUUAGAUUCCAAGAUGGUGGCUCAUGCCUGUAAUCCCAGCACUUCGGGAGGCCAAGGUAAGAGUAUGGCUUGAGCCCAGGAGUUCAAGGCAAAACUGGGAAACACAGCAAGACCCUGUCUCAAAAGAAAAAGAAAAGUUUCCAAGAUGGUGUAGAACAUCAGAGAGGGGCUCUUGGAGAUUAUCUGGCCAUCGUCACCCCACCUGCUUAUAGAUGGAAAUGCAUAGACUCAGAGAGGUUGGGGGACAUAUGGGCAGCUAUAGAAAUCCAGUGGACCUCAAAUCCCGACAUUUCUAACCUGAAUUAAAUUCUCUCACCC
ensembl:lncRNA PVT1 Pvt1 oncogene